AAACUUGGCCCUCCAGCUGUUUUGGAACUACAAUCCCCAUCAUUCCUGACCACUGGUCCUGUUAACUAGGGGUGAUGGGAGUUGUAGUCCCAAAACAGCUGGAGGGCCAAGUUU
rnacentral:miRNA from 1 species